rnacentral:rRNA from 1 species
GACGAACGCUGGCGGCGUGCCUAAUACAUGCAAGUCGAGCGAAGUUUUUCUGGUGCUUGCACUAGAAAAACUUAGCGGCGAACGGGUGAGUAACACGUAAAGAACCUGCCUCAUAGACUGGGACAACUAUUGGAAACGAUAGCUAAUACCGGAUAACAGCAUUAACUGCAUGGUUGAUGUUUAAAAGUUGGUUUUGCUAACACUAUGAGAUGGCUUUGCGGUGCAUUAGCUAGUUGGUGGGGUAAAGGCCUACCAAGGCGACGAUGCAUAGCCGACCUGAGAGGGUGAUCGGCCACACUGGGACUGAGACACGGCCCAGACUCCUACGGGAGGCAGCAGUAGGGAAUCUUCCGCAAUGGGCGAAAGCCUGACGGAGCAACGCCGCGUGAGUGAAGAAGGAUUUCGGUUCGUAAAGCUCUGUUGUUAGGGAAGAAUGAUUGUGUAGUAACUAUACACAGUAGAGACGGUACCU